GACGAACGCUGGCGGCGUGCUUAACACAUGCAAGUCGAACGAAGAGCGAUGGAAGCUUGCUUCUAUCAAUCUUAGUGGCGAACGGGUGAGUAACGCGUAAUCAACCUGCCCUUCAGAGGGGGACAACAGUUGGAAACGACUGCUAAUACCGCAUACGAUCUAAUCUCGGCAUCGAGGAUAGAUGAAAGGUGGCCUCUACAUGUAAGCUAUCACUGAAGGAGGGGAUUGCGUCUGAUUAGCUAGUUGGGGGGGUAACGGCCCACCAAGGCGAUGAUCAGUAGCCGGUCUGAGAGGAUGAACGGCCACAUUGGGACUGAGACACGGCCCAGACUCCUACGGGAGGCAGCAGUGGGGAAUCUUCCGCAAUGGACGAAAGUCUGACGGAGCAACGCCGCGUGAGUGAUGACGGCCUUCGGGUUGUAAAGCUCUGUUAAUCGGGACGAAAGGCCUUCUUGCGAAUAGUGAGAAGGAUUGACGGUACCGGAAGAGAAAGCCACGGCUAACUACGUG
rnacentral:rRNA from 1 species